GUUCUUUGUCAACUAUGUCAAAUAGGGAAUAUAUAUUUUCUUAACCUAAAGUUUACUUCCUGUUAUGGCCUUUAAUUUCCCUUCUUUUUUCCUUCUUGAUUUAUUUUGUCUUAUAUUUUAUGUAUUCUCAUAAAUUGCUUUUCCUCAUUUUUCAAAUUAAGGUAGAGGAGUUUGUAAACAAACUAAAAAAAUUAAUAGAGCUGUUGGAAAGAUUCUAUUUUCUUACAUAAGUGGACUGCCAUACAUUUGCAUAUAUUUGUUUUUAGAUAAAUUUAUAAUGAUCUGUCAUCUGCAAGAUCAUUUUUAAAUUUAAUUUUCUCUGGAUUCUUUUUGACUGCAGGAUAUUUCAUACACUUGAAAAAGCACAAUUUUCUCUGGAACAAGCAUAUUACUGGAAAGCCUUUAUAAAGUUAAUCAGGAAGACUUGCAAAGUGGCUCAAUAUGUAAAUAUGCAAGAGAGUUUCCAGAACAGACUAUCAGAUCCACAAAGAGUGAGAUGGGGAGAGGCAUACAGGAUGCCCCGGCUUGAGCACAAAGCAGGACAUCCACCCGUCAGCCUGCGCAGAGACAGAUUCGUUGAAGCACUUUGCUCCUAGGACCAGGAAAGGCUCCCCGGUGGCCUAUUCCCUGCCAGACUGGUAUAUCCACCACAGCAAGUCACCAACAGCCAGCUAGUGAGAGUAAGUAUAUUAAAGCACUCAUGUUUUUGUUUAUUUUUGCAGGAAAGAAAAUAGCCCAAUACUGAUAGCAAGCAUGUGGUAUGGCAACUCCAGUUUCUCUUUUAUAAUAGGCUGCUCUUUGGGGGACAUAGCCUAGGUGGUCAUAAAACCUGAGUUCUGGAAACCUGUGACAUUUUGUGCCUCCCUAGAGUCUUGUGUCUUUGGGAAAUGGCACUGCAGGACUGACCAUGUCCGCCUAUCAUAGAAAUAACCCAUCCCAAAGCGUUCUUGUUAAAGACAAAAGGCAGUGCCUAACAAGCUACAAAUACAUGAAAUCCUAAGUUUCUAUGCUGAUUAUUGAGUUAUGGGGAGCGAAUGUUCCCAUAAUAUUUGAAAUGUCUUAGAAAUUCCUAUUUGUGGACAUGUAAACUUUAUCUCCAAAACCACCUCUCUUGGAUUGAGAAGUAAAAUAAAAAAUCAUUUCAGGUCAUUUCCCCAUUUUUUUGGCUUGAAAAUAGGACCACUGUAGAUAUAUCCAGGCUGUUAUCCAGUGUAUCCUACUUCCUACAAUGCAUCUUUUGUCUUCAGGAUUCUGGUCCCCCUGUUGUUUAAAAUGAAUAUGUGUGGUGGCUCACGCCUGUAAUUCCAGCACUUUGAGAGGCUGAGGCGGGUGGAUCACCUGAGGUCAAGAGUUCAAGACCAGCCUGACCAAUAUGGUGAAACCCUGUCUCUACUAAAAAUACAAAAAUUAGCUUGACAUGGUGGUGUGCACCUAUAGUCCCAGCUACUUGGGAUGCUGAGACCGGAGAAUUGCUUAAACCCAGGAGGUGGAGGUUGCAAUGAGUCAAGAUCGUACCACUGGACUUCAGCCUGAGCAACAGAGCAAGACUCCAUCUCAAAAAAAAAAAAAAAGGAUACUCUGUGCUAACAGGUUACAUCAAAGUGGAUGAGCUGAGCAAGAAGAGACAGGCUUAGAAGGGGAAGCAGGAGACUAGGGGCCUCCUGCAAUGCUGCCUGUGCUUGCAGGAACAGAGCAGGUCAGGCAGCCUGAGGUGAGGGUAGGACCUGAGUAUCCCAGGCAGAUGUGGAGUGAUGGGUUUCCUGAGCGCCCUUGACCCUGAGCACUGACUGAGGGAUGCCCAAUCCCUGAAUAGACCAAUAACAAGAUCUGAAAUUGAGGCAGUAAUUAACAGCGUACCAACGAAAAAAAAAAAAAAAAAGCCCAAGACCAGACAGAUUCACAGCUGAAUUCUAGCAGAGGUACAAAGGGGAGCUGGUACCAUUACUUCUGAAACUAUUUCAAACAAAAGAAAAAGAGGGAAUCCUCCCUAACUCAUGUUUAAUCAGGUCCGGAUCAUCCCUGAUGACCAAAACUGGCAACACAAUCACAUCACACACACACACACACACACACACACACACACACACAGAAUCUCAUGCUGAGAUCCCUGAUGAAUAUAGAUACAAAAAUCCUCAAUAAAAUACUGCAACCAAGCCAGCAACACAUCAAUAAGCUUAUCAGCCCA
ensembl:lincRNA